UACGUAGGGGGCAAGCGUUGUCCGGAAUCAUUGGGCGUAAAGCGCGUGUAGGCGGCUCGGUAAGUCUGCUCUGAAAGCCUGGGGCUCAACCCUGGGAGGCGGGUGGAUACUGCUGAGCUCGAGUCCGGAAGAGGCGAGUGGAAUUCCUGGUGUAGCGGUGAAAUGCGCAGAUAUCAGGAGGAACACCAAUGGCGAAGGCAGCUCGCUGGGACGGUACUGACGCUGAGACGCGAAAGCGUGGGGAGCGAACCGG
rnacentral:rRNA from 1 species